rnacentral:rRNA from 1 species
AGUGAACGCUGGCGGUAGGCCUAACACAUGCAAGUCGAACGGCAGCACAGUAAGAGCUUGCUCUUACGGGUGGCGAGUGGCGGACGGGUGAGGAAUACAUCGGAAUCUACUUUUUCGUGGGGGAUAACGUAGGGAAACUUACGCUAAUACCGCAUACGACCUACGGGUGAAAGCAGGGGAUCUUCGGACCUUGCGCGAUUGAAUGAGCCGAUGUCGGGUUAGCUAGUUGGCGGGGUAAAGGCCCACCAAGGCGACGAUCCGUAGCUGGUCUGAGAGGAUGAUCAGCCACACUGGAACUGAGACACGGUCCAGACUCCUACGGGAGGCAGCAGUGGGGAAUAUUGGACAAUGGGCGCAAGCCUGAUCCAGCCAUACCGCGUGGGUGAAGAAGGCCUUCGGGUUGUAAAGCCCUUUUGUUGGGAAAGAAAAGCAGCAGGUUAAUACCCCGCUGUUCUGACGUUACCCAAAGAAUAAGCACCGGCUAACUUCGUG